UACGGGAGGCAGCAGUGGGGAAUAUUGCACAAUGGGCGCAAGCCUGAUGCAGCCAUGCCGCGUGUAUGAAGAAGGCCUUCGGGUUGUAAAGUACUUUCAGUCGUGAGGAAGGUGUUAAGGUUAAUAACCUUAGCAAUUGACGUUAGCGACAGAAGAAGCACCGGCUAACUCCGUGCCAGCAGCCGCGGUAAUACGGAGGGUGCGAGCGUUAAUCGGAAUUACUGGGCGUAAAGGGCACGCAGGCGGUUAAUUAAGUUGGAUGUGAAAUCCCCGGGCUUAACCUGGGAAUGGCAUUCAAGACUGGUUAGCUAGAGUCUUGUAGAGGGGGUAGAAUUCCAUGUGUAGCGGUGAAAUGCGUAGAGAUGUGGAGGAAUACCGGUGGCGAAGGCGGCCCCUGGACAAAGACUGACGCUCAUGUGCGAAAGCGUGGGGAGCAAACGAGGGAUUUAGAUA
rnacentral:rRNA from 1 species